rnacentral:miRNA from 1 species
GCACGCAGCUGUAUUUCAGAAUGGUUUUUAUAUGUGUGCACGUAGUGACAUACAUAUAAAAACCAUUCUGAAAUACAGCUGUGUGC